UUCCACCAGCAGCCUGGCUUGGCACUGCCAGGACAGCGCAUGGGGGAUAAAGCAUCCUGAACCUUGGUGUGCUGUUACCACGGCAACGGGGCAUUCCAGACUCUCCAGGCAACCUCACUGACAUCUGCUGUGAGAGAUUCAGAUGGAGAAGGGCCACCGCUCUUUCUCCAGUAGAGACAGAGCAAAUUGUGAAGACAGGGAGCCGUGUGCCGAGGACCAGAUCUUAAAGGAAAAUGCUGUUCCAUUGGAGGGACGUGUUACUCUUGGGGCUGGAACGAGCACGGCAUGUGCGGGGAUGGCUCCGAAGCCAACAUCUGGGCCCCGAAGCCUGUGCAGGCCCUGCGGUCAUCACUGGGACUCCUUGUGGGCUGUGGGGCUGGCCACUCCCUAGCCCUCUGCCAGUUGCCGGCCCUCCCUCAGUUGGUCACUGGCUCUUCCCUGGAUGCCCCUGAGGACGCUGAAUCUCAGGAAGCCAGGGACAAAGAGAGAAACUGGAAGGAAAGGCAACCGGACACCUCUACUCAGAGCCAGCCCGGCAGGUCCAGAAAUGGGGGGCUUGUGACAGAGGCCCUUAAAUAAAGUGACUUUUCCCACCCAA